UACAGAGGGUGCGAGCGUUAAUCGGAAUUACUGGGCGUAAAGCGCACUAGGCGGCUUGGUAUGUCGGGUGUGAAAUCCCCGGGCUCAACCUGGGAACUGCAUCCGAAACUGCCUUGCUAGAGUAUGGGGAGAGGGAAGUGGAAUUUCCGGUGUAGCGGUGAAAUGCGUAGAUAUCGGAAGGAACAUCAGUGGCGAAGGCGACUUCCUGGACCAAUACUGACGCUCAGGUGCG
rnacentral:rRNA from 1 species